rnacentral:lncRNA from 1 species
UAGGAAUGGAAUGUGCUGCAGAUAAUCACUCCCUUUGUGUCCUGUUCAGAGCUCAGCUGGCAGGCAGGUCAGGGAGCUGGGCAGGAGAGAAGGACGGGCUCAGCCAUCAGAGAAUCACAGAAUGUGCCACCUGCCUUUCAGAUGUAUAGCCUUAGAGCUGAAACUUGGAUGUUGGAACUAGAAGGAACCUUAGAAUAGGGAAUUCACUAGCCAGAAGGGACCUUGGAGAUUAUCUAGUAUGAUAUCUGUACCACCACUCCCCUCCUCUCCAUCCCAGUGCUUUUUACAGAGGAAGAAUCUGAGGCGAAUAAUCUGUACAAAGCUACAUAGUGUCCCUGGCUUCCUUCCACCAAGAGCAGAAAAUGGAUACUUACUGGAGAAGCACAUGGAGGAAUCCAAUAGCCAGGGGGAUGCCUGCUUUCUACAUCUGUUUGUGGGCUCCAGUGUAUCUUUCCAUUUUCUGGGAGCUCUUAUACAACUAUUUUAAGGCUUGCAGAAUUUUGCAAAAGUGAUUGAUCCUCACAACAACCCAGUAGGUAGGUGUUAUUUUUAUCCCCAUUUUUGCAAACAAGGAACCCAUGGCUGGUAAAUUAUUUGUUCAGGGUGACCCAGCAAGUGUCUGAAGCUGGAUUUGAACUCAGAUUUAGCACACUUUCCAUUGAGACCUCUAGUCCUGUACAGGAUGUUAAGGCUAUCCCAUAUCAAUACAUUUAGUACGUAUGUAGAAAUGAGGACCCUGUUACCUGUUCUUUAGGAAACCUAGACAGUAACUAUUGUUGUUCAGUAGUUUCAGCUGUGUCUGACUCUUUGGGACUCCAUUUGGGGUUUAUUUGGCAAAGGUGCUAGAGUGGUUCACCAUUUCUUUCUCCAGCUCAUUUGAAAGAUGAGGAAACUGAGACAGACAGAGUUAAGUGAACAGGAACCAAAGCCAAGCUUUAUUUUGGAGAUGAUUUCAUAUUGACCAGUAGAAGCAGUUAUCCAGAGAAAAACCGACCUUUCAGGAUUAAACCCCCAACAUCAAACCCUGUUUGUGUGAGCCCAGAGUGCAGCAGGGUGGGGUUUACUGGGUGACAAACAGAAAGGACAUUCAGCUUGAAAUCUAGUGCCUAAUAUACUCUACUUUGCUACUUUCCCUUUUGGUUUAGGUGUGUGUGAGGGGCUUCUGGGAACGUGGAAGGGCAAAGUUCAGGAAGG